UACGUAGGGACCAAGCGUUGUUCGGAUUUACUGGGCGUAAAGGGCGCGUAGGCGGCAUGACAAGUCACUUGUGAAAUCUCCGGGCUUAACUCGGAACGGCCAAGUGAAACUGUCAAGCUAGAGUGCAGAAGGGGCAAUCGGAAUUCUUGGUGUAGCGGUGAAAUGCGUAGAUAUCGGAAGGAACGCCGGUGGCGAAAGCGAGUCGCUGGACCCCUCCUGACGCUGAGGCGCGAAAGCCAGGGGAGCGAACGGG
rnacentral:rRNA from 1 species